rnacentral:tRNA from 1 species
CCUGGUAGCUCAGAUAAUAAAGAAUCUGCCUGCAAUGCAGAAGACCCAGGUUCAAUUCCUGGGUCAGGA